rnacentral:rRNA from 1 species
GACGAACGCUGGCGGCGUGCUUAACACAUGCAAGUCGAACGGAAAGGCCCUGCUUUUGUGGGGUGCUCGAGUGGCGAACGGGUGAGUAACACGUGAGUAACCUGCCCUUGACUUUGGGAUAACUUCAGGAAACUGGGGCUAAUACCGGAUAGGAGCUCCUGCUGCAUGGUGGGGGUUGGAAAGUUUCGGCGGUUGGGGAUGGACUCGCGGCUUAUCAGCUUGUUGGUGGGGUAGUGGCUUACCAAGGCUUUGACGGGUAGCCGGCCUGAGAGGGUGACCGGCCAAAUUGGGAUGGGGAAGCGGCCCGGACCCCUACGGGGGGAAGGGGGGGGGAAUAUGGGAAAAGGGGCGGAGGCAGGGUGGACGAACGCCGGGGGGGGGAAGGGGGCCUUCGGGUUGAAAACCGCUUUCGCGUGUAGAGGAGCGUGGGGAAGGGAAAUGGGAAAAAAGGCACGGCUAAACUACGG